rnacentral:rRNA from 1 species
UACGUAGGUGGCAAGCGUUAUCCGGAUUCAUUGGGCGUAAAGGGAACGCAGGCGGUCUUUUAAGUCUGAUGUGAAAGCCUUCGGCUUAACCGGAGUAGUGCAUUGGAAACUGGGAGACUUGAGUGCAGAAGAGGAGAGUGGCACUCCAUGUGUAGCGGUGAAAUGCGUAGAUAUAUGGAAGAACACCAGUGGCGAAAGCGGCUCUCUGGUCUGUAACUGACGCUGAGGUUCGAAAGCGUGGGUAGCAAACAGG